rnacentral:rRNA from 1 species
GCAUAAUCAAUAGUUUUUUAAUUGAAGACUGGGAUGAAGGGUAGAAUCUGAAAGGAAAGUUUUAUUAAUAUAAUUUGAAUUUUAAUUAAAAGUAAAAAUGCUAUUAUUAUUUCUUGGGACGAGAAGACCCUAGAAGCUUAAAAGUUAAUAUUUUUUUAUUGGGGUAAUAUUUGAAGAAAAAAUUUUUGGAGUAUAAUGGUAUAUUAUAUUAGUUACUCUAGGGAUAACAGCGUAAUUUAUUUAGAGAGUUCUUAUCAAUAGAUAAGUUUGCGACCUCGAUGUUGAAUUAAAA